GUGAGGAAUUUUCCGCAAUGGGCGAAAGCCUGACGGAGCAAUGCCGCGUGAAGGAUGAAGGCCUAUGGGUUGUAAACUUCUUUUCUCAGAAAAGAAUUAUGACGGUAUCUGAGGAAUAAGCAUCGGCUAACUCUGUGCCAGCAGCCGCGGUAAGACAGAGGAUGCAAGCGUUAUCCGGAAUGAUUGGGCGUAAAGCGUCUGUAGGUUGUUUAAAAAGUAUUCUGUCAAAGAUUAGGGCUUAACCCUAGAUAGGCAGAAUAAACUUUUAAGCUAGAGUUUGGUAGAGGCAGAGGGAAUUCCCGGUGGAGCGGUGAAAUGCGUAGAUAUCGGGGAGAACACCAAAGGCGAAGGCACUCUGCUGGGCCAAUACUAACACUGAGAGACGAAAGCGAGGGGAGCAAAUGGGAUUAGAAACCCCAGUAGUCC
rnacentral:rRNA from 1 species